CCUACGGGUGGCAGCAGUGGGGAAUAUUGCACAAUGGGGGAAACCCUGAUGCAGCAACGCCGCGUGAGUGAAGAAGUAUUUCGGUAUGUAAAGCUCUAUCAGCAGGGAAGAAGAAAGACGGUACCUGACUAAGAAGCCCCGGCUAACUACGUGCCAGCAGCCGCGGUAAUACGUAGGGGGCAAGCGUUAUCCGGAUUUACUGGGUGUAAAGGGAGCGUAGACGGCAGUGCAAGUCUGAAGUGAAAGCCCGUGGCUCAACCGCGGAACUGCUUUGGAAACUGUAUAGCUGGAGUACUGGAGAGGCAAGCGGAAUUCCUGGUGUAGCGGUGAAAUGCGUAGAUAUUAGGAGGAACACCAGUGGCGAAGGCGACCAGCUGGACAGAAACUGACGUUGAGGCUCGAAAGCGUGGGGAGCAAACAGGAUUAGAUACCCCAGUAGUC
rnacentral:rRNA from 1 species